AUGAGUAGGGCGGGACACGUGGUAUCCUGUCUGAAUAUGGGGGGCCCAUCCUCCAAGGCUAAAUACUCCUGACUGACCGAUAGUGAACCAGUACCGUGAGGGAAAGGCGAAAAGAACCCCGGCGAGGGGAGUGAAAAAGAACCUGAAACCGUGUACGUACAAGCAGUGGGAGCACGCUUAGGCGUGUGACUGCGUACCUUUUGUAUAAUGGGUCAGCGACUUAUAUUCUGUAGCAAGGUUAACCGAAUAGGGGAGCCGAAGGGAAACCGAGUCUUAACUGGGCGUUAAGUUGCAGGGUAUAGACCCGAAACCCGGUGAUCUAGCCAUGGGCAGGUUGAAGGUUGGGUAACACUAACUGGAGGACCGAACCGACUAAUGUUGAAAAAUUAGCGGAUGACUUGUGGCUGGGGGUGAAAGGCCAAUCAAACCGGGAGAUAGCUGGUUCUCCCCGAAAGCUAUUUAGGUAGCGCCUCGUGAAUUCAUCUCCGGGGGUAGAGCACUGUUUCGGCAAGGGGGUCAUCCCGACUUACCAACCCGAUGCAAACUGCGAAUACCGGAGAAUGUUAUCACGGGAGACACACGGCGGGUGCUAACGUCCGUCGUGAAGAGGGAAACAACCCAGACCGCCAGCUAAGGUCCCAAAGUCAUGGUUAAGUGGGAAACGAUGUGGGAAGGCCCAGACAGCCAGGAUGUUGGCUUAGAAGCAGCCAUCAUUUAAAGAAAGCGUAAUAGCUCACUGGUCGAGUCGGCCUGCGCGGAAGAUGUAACGGGGCUAAACCAUGCACCGAAGCUGCGGCAGCGACGCUUAUGCGUUGUUGGGUAGGGGAGCGUUCUGUAAGCCUGCGAAGGUGUGCUGUGAGGCAUGCUGGAGGUAUCAGAAGUGCGAAUGCUGACAUAAGUAACGAUAAAGCGGGUGAAAAGCCCGCUCGCCGGAAGACCAAGGGUUCCUGUCCAACGUUAAUCGGGG
rnacentral:rRNA from 1 species